AAAUCAAAAUUCUCUCGCUCUCGCUCUCACAGAUUGAAGCUUUCUCUCUUCACAGCACAACCACUGGCCCGGAUCUCCGGUUCCGACGAUGCUGGCCUUUUUCUCAUCGGAAAAUCCCUAAAAUUCCUGCUGGUACAGUCACCAAAUUUCAAAAUUUUUCUCCCUUCCACCAAACCUUGCUGUACAUGGGACACCAGCGUCGAUUCUCCAUGACCAUGGCUAUAACUGGAAGCCUCCAAGGGUCACACGACCACCACCGGCGGUGCUUGCUGGCCUGACCUUCUCCUCUCUUUAGGUCUCUGUUUUUUCGCUCUCUCAAGUCCAGCCGUGUCCAAGCUUCUGCUUGCACCGCAACACCACCAUUUCUGUCAAGAAGCUGGAGGCACACCAACUAUAACUUAAUGAGUUGGUCAUGCCAUUUAAGUUUGUAGAAGAACUUGAUCUUGAAGCUUACAAGACCUUCUUCUUAUUUUUUUCUUUUGUGUGAAUUAUGUAUCAUGAAUAUAUGAUGAUGGGAAGAUUUGUUUCUUGUUAACAAAGUGUAUAUUUCAACAAAACUAUUGUUAUAUGGCCUUGUGGUCGAAGUGUACAUUCGAAUAAAAUUUUGUUCAUUUUUAGAACAAC